rnacentral:lncRNA from 1 species
GAAAAACUAGAACUCGGACUUAUCCAGCUCUCUGGAGAGAGAGACAUGAUAAGUGAGCAGGAGGCCAGGGCAGGGCAGGGGAGCUGCAGGGUGGUGGGAGGGGCCCCAGUGUCUGAGCCUGUCCUCCCGCAGGAAAGUCCAUCAAACCAAAUGACCAUCAGACAGCAGUGGUCAAGACCCAGCACCAGAAGAAGUACGAUGUUAGCAUGCUGUCCGAGGCCGAGGAGGGGAUCAAGGUGAAGCUGCUGGAGCUGCAGGGCCCAGUGACGCAGCUUAUGAUCGGCCACGAGGUCCAGCACCCUGCUAAUGAUUCCACUCCAGGGGCCCCAGCCCCCCAGGAGCUUGGUGCUGCUGACAAGGAUGUAUUUUAUGAGAUGAGCCCGGACGACGACAGCGACAGCCUGGAGCCUGCAGGAGGGAGGGUACACCACACCCCACUGCACAGCAGAUUGCUCACGGCUGUGUGAGCUGCAGGAUGGCCAGCAACACUGACCCUUGGGCAGCAGUCCCUCUAUGCCAUGCUUUUACCGGGCUGCUGCGAAGGAGGUAAACAUCACCAUCAGCUAAGAGCUGGCCAAGAAAUUUACAAAGGAACAAAGUUAUACGGUUAAUCUUCUACAUGUUACUUUAUUUGAAUGUUAGAGCCACUCAUGAUGAUUUGUGUUUCUAAUUUAUAGUUUAUUUGUAAUAAGUUAAAGGGAGUGGGUCUUCGUGUGGCUUUCACUGAUGUCCACUCUGGCAUCCUUUAGCGUCUUUAAUUUGAUAAUCGUAGGUCAUUAGCAUGCCUAUCGAGUUUGCCCUUACGUGGUGGGAGUUCAAACACACAAAGACCCACUAUCGGCACAAAACCAUUCUCGCUAGUUUGGAAUAGGCUGCCAUGGUUUUUAACGUUAUUGCAGCAUGUAUAUUCAUUAUGGAAUUCAGAUACAAUUUGCUUAUGUUCUGCUAUGGUAGUUGAUGGACUCCUGAUCACAGUGAGCUCUUAAUUAGCUCAAUGUGUGCUUUGCCCUCACGUGCACACUGUUUAUUAUUUGUAAGGUGCCACUAUGUGUACUGACAUCUAGAGUUGUUGAAAAGCCGAGAACUGGAAACAGCCUUUCUUCCAUUUUCUGUGCAUUGCAAAUGGGAGUAAUAACAUUUUUGGGAGCUUUUAACAUCUCACAGAAGAGGAAAGUGGCCUGCUCUGGCAGGUAUGUGCAGAAU